UACGGAGGGUGCAAGCGUUAAUCGGAAUUACUGGGCGUAAAGCGUGCGCAGGCGGUUUGUUAAGCCAGAUGUGAAAGCCCCGGGCUCAACCUGGGAACUGCGUUUGGUACUGGCAAGCUAGAGUACAGCAGAGGGGGGUGGAAUUCCACGUGUAGCGGUGAAAUGCGUAGAUAUGUGGAGGAACACCAGUGGCGAAGGCGACUCUCUGGCCUGUAACUGACGCUGAGGCGCGAAAGCGUGGGGAGCAAACAGG
rnacentral:rRNA from 1 species